AACGAACGCUGGCGGCAUGCCUAACACAUGCAAGUCGAACGGGAUCCUGGCUUCGGCCAGGUGAGAGUGGCGGGCGGGUGAGUAACACGUGGGAACCUGCCUUUUGGUUCGGGAUAACCGCGGGAAACUGCGGCUAAUACCGGAUACACCCGUGAGGGGAAAGAUUUAUCGCCAGAAGAGGGGCCCGCGUCCGAUUAGGUAGUUGGUGGGGUAAAGGCCUACCAAGCCGACGAUCGGUAGCUGGUCUGAGAGGAUGAUCAGCCACACUGGGACUGAGAUACGGCCCAGACUCCUACGGGAGGCAGCAGUGGGGAAUAUUGGACAAUGGGGGCAACCCUGAUCCAGCAAUGCCGCGUGAGUGAUGAAGGCCUUAGGGUUGUAAAGCUCUUUUGCCAGGGAAGAUGAUGACUGUACCUGGAGAAUAAGCCCCGGCUAACUUCGUGCCAGCAGCCGCGGUAAUACGAAGGGGGCUAGCGUUGUUCGGAAUUACUGGGCGUAAAGGGCGCGUAGGCGGCCGUUUAAGUU
rnacentral:rRNA from 1 species